UACGGAAGGCAGCAGUGGGGAAUAUUGCACAAUGGGCGAAAGCCUGAUGCAGCUAUGCCGCGUGUAUGAAGAAGGCCUUAGGGUUGUAAAGUACUUUCAUCGGGGAGGAAAAAACAAAACUAAUAAUUUUAUUUCUUGACGUUACCCGAAAAAGAAGCACCGGCUAACUCCGUGCCAGCAGCCGCGGUAAUACGGAGGGUGCUAGCGUUAAUCAGAAUUACUGGGCGUAAAGAGCACGUAGGUGGUUUUUUAAAGUCAGAUGUGAAAUCCCUGGGCUUAACCUGGGAAUGGCAUUCAAGACUGGUUAGCUAGAGUCUUGUAGAGGGGGUAGAAUUCCAUGUGUAGCGGUGAAAUGCGUAGAGAUGUGGAGGAAUACCGGUGGCGAAGGCGGCCCCUGGACAAAGACUGACGCUCAUGUGCGAAAGCGUGGGGAGCAAACAGGGAUUAGAUACC
rnacentral:rRNA from 1 species